rnacentral:rRNA from 1 species
GAUGAACGCUAGCGGCAGGCCUAACACAUGCAAGUGGAGGGGUAACAGAAAAGCUUGCUUUUGCUGACGACCGGCGCACGGGUGCGUAACGCGUAUGCAACCUACCUCAUACUGGAGGAUAGCCCCUGGAAACGGGGAUUAAUACUCCAUAGUAUCACAAUUUCGCAUGUUAUUGUGAUUAAAGUUUUUCGGUAUGAGAUGGGCAUGCGUCCCAUUAGCUUGUUGGUGAGGUAACGGCUCACCAAGGCAACGAUGGGUAGGGGGCCUGAGAGGGUGGUCCCCCACACUGGUACUGAGACACGGACCAGACUCCUACGGGAGGCAGCAGUGAGGAAUAUUGGUCAAUGGAG